rnacentral:lncRNA from 7 species
AAAGUCUUAAUCUUGACUUUAUAAGGUGUAUUUCUUUUAAGGGGGAAUAAAUUGAGUUAUUUACAAUGCCUCACGGAUGCCACACCUGGGAGUUACAGGAGUGUCAGUUGGGGCGGCCUGUAAAAGGAGGUGCCCUUUGGACACCCUUACCUUAGAAGAAAGGUCUGCUUUUUCAUAUGAAACUGAGUUGCUUUGCUUCUGUAGCAUGCAAGCAGAGACUUACUGGAUUCUUGAACCUAUUCUAUACUUUUAUGUAAAAGUGGUGGUGUGCAUACAGAUCAUGGCAAAUAUUGAAAACCUGUAAAACUGUUGAAAAGCAUUUUUGAUUGAAUAGGUUGCCAUGAUGUUGCAUAGCAAUAUUUCAGAAUUACUGCUGAGAACUUGAAGAUCUGGAUUCCCAGCCCUGACGUUCAAAUGGCCAAGUCUAAGCAUAAUGUAGUUUCUACUCCAGCAGAGACCGAGUACACAGUUCUUCUCCAGCUCCUUUCGACUUUUUGGCAAAAUACUGCAUCUUCAGCCAGGAGAAGUUGGCGAAGUACAAAAGGGCUUUUGAAGCGGAGGUUCUGAGUUAUGCUGUCGUCUACCUGGGAGUGCUUAAGUUUCUUCCUCUGCAAGAUGAUGUGGCCAAGCCCAUUAGAUUUGGUGGAGACCCUGAAGAUUUUGUUGAAGGGGCAGAAGAGGACACUUUUUGAAGAUGGAGGAAGCUUUCUUAGGCUAUAGGAAGAGAAGGAGCCUUAGACAGAGAUGUCAGAGGAUGCACAAAAGACCUUUCUACUUGUCUACUAUGAGACACAGUUGAGAUGACAAAAAAAAGUAAAGGAAUAGGCAAAGAUUAAGAGUUCCCAAGGCUUUCCCUCAGUUUGAAAAUGGAAGCAGAGAUUAACCAUACCUUGUCAAAGCUGCGCUUCCAAGACACUGGAGUUCUGCUCAUAGAUUUUAGAGAUUGUUGACUAUUAUGUAACAGAUGGCCUGACAGACCUCCGACUCUUUGCAGUGAUGGCUAGCUUGGCGUAGAAAAUAGCAGCACUGGAGUAAGCAUUCAGCGGCAUAGACGCUCAUGAAUUUUAACUCCUCGGUGACAAAGGAAUUCAAGGGGAAAUGUUUCUGUGCCUGGCCAGUCAAUGGAAACUUCCUGGUAAAGUAGAGGAAAGAGGGGGAAAAGGCAUUCACCUCAGAAGAGCACCCUCUAAACAAAUCAGUCAGAUAUUCAAAUCAGAGCUGGCAUAUAUUAUUUUAGAUUAUUUAAGAUUAGGUUAAAUUAAAUUAUAGCAUCAGUACCAAUGUAUUGCAGGGGCAGAUGAGUGAGAAAGUAAAGAUAAGGCCAAAUGAUCUUCCACUGAACAGAAGCAGAGAGUUGAGCUUGAAGUUUCGCUUCUCAUAGCUUCCUGUUGAGACUACACUAUACUUAUAUGUCUGUGUAAACUGGCUAAAAUCCUGUUGAAGUCUUCCCUUGUCUUCCUCUUUUCCUUGGAGUGCAAGAGAGCUGGGCAUAAGUCCCAGCAGGAUAAGUGCUUUGUGUUUCCCACAGCAGAGCCACCAUCUCCACCAUGACAUGGCCAAAGAUGCCAUGACCUCAAAACCAUGUUUACAGCAGGGACUCCAUGGGCAUCUUUUAGCCCAUAUUGCUUUACCUUGAAUAAACUUCAUUUGUACUAGAACAUUUGCCAAUUUAUCAGCAGAGGAGGUAGUUUAGGAGUGGUAAAAUAGCAGCUCCUUCCCUCUUAGAUGUGCUCUGGUACCCCUAAAGAUGAGGCAUGGUCUUUCCCUGCAGUUCAGGAACACAUCUCCCAUUGGAAGUCACUUGUGGAAAAGCCUAAUUCCAGCCCAUAAAGACUGCAAAGGAUAAUUACAGUAUAUGUUUUUUAGUAAAAUGUACUUUAUAUUGUUUUGUUAUAUAUGUGGUUCUAGUAAGGAAGAGCUAUGCAUUUACCACUAUCUUUGUUAUAUGUUCUUUCAGUCCAGAUGUUGUGAUGAUUUUUUCCCAGAAAGAGACUGAAUUGUUAAACCCAAGGUUUUCUUGGAUUCUCUGCAAAUAUAUAUAUGUAUAUGAAAAAUAUCUACUACAUGUGUAUUAGAAUUAGGAAGUGGAGGACAGUGACAAAUACUAUCUACAAGAAACUUUUAAUCCAAGACUUUCAAAAAUGAAGGCUAAAGCUCAGCUCCUAGGUGCAUUAGUGAACCGCAGUACCCAGUCUCCACACAUCCCGAGAAUCUGGAAGCAGCAGAUUUCUCAGACUCUCCACAAAGGAGCAGAAUGUUGGGUCC